rnacentral:rRNA from 1 species
UACAGAGGGUGCGAGCGUUAAUCGGAAUUACUGGGCGUAAAGCGCACGUAGGCGGCUUGGUAUGUCGGGUGUGAAAUCCCCGGGCUCAACCUGGGAACUGCAUCCGAAACUGCCUUGCUAGAGUAUGGGAGAGGGAAGUGGAAUUUCCGGUGUAGCGGUGAAAUGCGCAGAUAUCAGGAGGAACACCGGUGGCGAAGGCGGAUCUCUGGGCCUUACCUGACGCUCAGGCGCGAAAGCUAGGGGAGCGAACUGG